GAUGAACGCUGGCGGCGUGCCUAAUACAUGCAAGUCGAGCGAACAGACGAGGAGCUUGCUCCUCUGACGUUAGCGGCGGACGGGUGAGUAACACAUGGAUAACCUACCUAUAAGACUGGGAUAACUUCGGGAAACCGGAGCUAAUACCGGAUAAUAUAUUGAACCGCAUGGUUCAAUAGUGAAAGACGGUUUUGCUGUCACUUAUAGAUGGAUCCGCGCCGCAUUAGCUAGUUGGUAAGGUAACGGCUUACCAAGGCAACGAUGCGUAGCCGACCUGAGAGGGUGAUCGGCCACACUGGAACUGAGACACGGUCCAGACUCCGACGGGAGGCAGCAGUAGGGAAUCUUCCGCAAUGGGCGAAAGCCUGACGGAGCAACGCCGCGUGAGUGAUGAAGGUCUUCGGAUCGUAAAACUCUGUUAUUAGGGAAGAACAAAUGUGUAAGUAACUAUGCACGUCUUGACGGUACCUAAUCAGAAAGCCACGGCUAACUACGU
rnacentral:rRNA from 1 species